rnacentral:rRNA from 1 species
CCUACGGGUGGCAGCAGCAAGGAAUUUUGGGCAAUGGGGGCAACCCUGACCCAGCAACGCCGCGUGGACGAUGAAGGCUUUCGGGUCGUAAAGUCCUUUUGUGGGGGACGAUGAUGACGGUACCCCACGAAAAAGCCCCGGCUAACUACGUGCCAGCAGCCGCGGUAAUACGUAGGGGGCGAGCGUUGUCCGGAUUUAUUGGGCGUAAAGCGCGCGUAGGCGGUGCGCUAAGUCCGUGGUGAAAUCUCCCGGCUCAACUGGGAGGGGGCCUGGGAGACUGGCGCGCUGGAGGACGGCAGAGGAAGGUGGAAUUCCCGGUGUAGUGGUGAAAUGCGUAG